UUUCGAGAAGGCAGAGAAGCUCUAUGCUCUCUCGACUCCCUACCUUUUCGACCCAAACUUCUCAGCCUUCCUCUUCACCUCCGCUGCUCUCCUGCCUCCACCACCUAGAAGCUCCACAGCCAUUUGCCAGCUCGAAUCCCAGCUCCGAACUGAAGUUCUCUCUUCUGCAUUAGCGUUGCUGCGAUUGCUGGUUGGGAAUUUUGGGGAAAAAGGAAAGAAAACCAGUUCCAAUUCUCUCUCGCUUUGCUGGAUAUCAGAUAUUUUAAAUGGUCCCUUACUAAUUACGAUCUUAAAGAGGAUUGUUACUCUAUUUGUUUGAAGUUACGACCUUACUUUAUAUUUGUAAUUUAUGGUUCUAUUUCAUUCAUCAUUGUCUUCAUGUGUUUGAUGAACUAUAAUAAAACAACCAAAAAAAAAAAAAAAGGGGUAAAAACUGAUUUGUAUAGAAAAAAAACUGGUUUGUUUUUUGUUAAUGUCGCGAUGAUUUUAAAUUAGUAUAAAAGAAUAUAUAAGUUGAAGUAGUUGAUUCAGUUUUUUCUUUUAAUUUAAAUUUGCUAAUUUCUGAAGUCAUCUGCUAAUAUGGCUAUUAAUGUGCUUUGCUUUUCUUCCUUUGAUGUUUCUUUCUUGUUUAUUCCUUUGUGUUUCCUUGAUUUUAGAUUAGUAUUUGGUAACAUCUGAGUGCUUCAUUGAAUUCAAUUCCAGAAUCUUGUUGAAGUUGGCAUAUAAUGUGGCUUUAGAUGCAUAUUGUAUUUGAUAUGUUUAUUAAUGAUAUGUCCUAGAAACUUGCUUCUCUUAAUGCUUUUUCCUCUUAAAUUUUUUCUUAUUCUCUUAGUUUAUGGUCCACUAUCUUUUGAACAUUCAUGGUUAAUUUUGUUUAGCCAUUACUCUGCUCUAUGACAUGCAUCCUGCGUAUAAUAUGUACAUAUAUAUAUGUAUAUAUUUUUUUUCUUUCUUGAAAACCUGUGUAUUUUAUAUUUCCCUUUUUAAAUGUUAUAUCUUAAGAGGUAUUGUUAAUUCACUAUUAAUUAUUACAAAUAUGAAAGAAAUAAUCACUUAAUGGGCUUUGAUUAUUUGUUCUGUUAAUAAGUUAAGAAUUGUGACUGAGAACUUAAUAUACACCAUCUAACAAGCCCCUUUGCUUUUGUUUGUUCCAUGACAUGUUGAUUUACACCAUCUAGCAAGCCCCUUUGCUUUUGUUCAUUCCAUGACAUAUUGUACAUGUUGAUUUACACAAUCUAGCAAGUCCCUUUGCUUUUGUUCAUUCCAUGACAUAUUGUACACUUGCUGGAAGCUUUCAUGACGCAUGAUGAUCCAGUCCCUUGUGUUGAUUUUAGCAGGUAUUCAGAGAUGCUCGCAUCUGGUUCAGAAGAUGGAAAAAUUAAAUGCUUGUGUUGCCUUGAACAUGUACAUUCUCGGGGUGUCACAAGUGUUUUCUUCUGUCGAGAUGGAAGCCAAUUACUUAGUAUAUCAUUUGACUGCACAGGUGGUGCAUCAACAGUUUUGUUUUUUUCCUUCAGUUGUGGCACCAUUUAUCCCUAUUCUACCAUUCGAGUCUUUAGUGCUAUGAUUUUGGAUAUGUCUGACCGAUUGUACGGCGGUCUAGAAUUACUAAAUCAGGGUCUAAAAUCUGGGAAGUUUUUGAGAGAAUUUCGUCGUCAUGGAUCAUGUAUAAAUGAUGCACUUUUACAAACACUGGAGAUCAUAUUAUCACUGCAUUCAGUGAUUGCACAGUCAAGGGAGGUGAUGCUUCUCUAAAUUCUGUUCAUCUUUUCCCAAAGAGUACCGUCACAUCAUUGUAUGCAAUAACAUCCAUCUAUAUUAUGACUCUUCAAGGACAGGGGCAGCUCGUGAAGAGUUUUCCAUCUCGUAAAAGAGAAGGAGACUUUGUGGCAGCCUGUGUGUCACCUUAAACGGAAUGGAUUUACUGUUGGUGAAGACAGGAACAUAUCAGCCUCCAAUCUAGAAACUAAAGCAUCUAAUGAAGAUUAGUUGCUGCUAGAACAGUGAAAACCUCCAUUCCAUCUCCACAUGGUUUGUAUAAUUGAUUAUAUAUGGGGAGGAAGACAUAUUCUGGUGCCAUAUCUAAUUCAAAACUUGCAAGGAAUUUUUCUUCUCCAAAAUCAUUUGUAACACCCCGUCCCGAAUCGCACCGGAAUCCGUGUACGUUGACCAAGGUUGACCGUUGACCGAAGGGGUCAAAAGUUGACUUUUUGACUCGGUGGGAAUUUCGAGUUGACCAGGGUACCGUGGCGAAGUGCAUGACGCCCUGAGUUCGUAGACUAGUAGCACGUCAAAAACGGAGCUACGGUUUGAAAGUUGUGGGCAAAACAAGUUGAAGUUCAAACUGUCCAAAAGGUGCUGGAAGUUGACUUUUUCUUGUGAUGUAAUUUUGAGUUGACUCUUGUAUGGUUGUAAAGUACUCGUCAAUACGAGUUCAUAGAAGAAAUGAACUCUUGUAUGGCACGCUUAAAUCGGACAUUUGGUUAAAAAGUUACGGACGUUUGAAAUUCGCCGGGUACCGUAUUAUUUUAAUAUAUUUGGCUUAAGUGCACAGUAACGCCACGUGUCAGCUUCUGAUUGGUCCACGUGGCAUGAACAGUGUUACGCAGGGUUUUUAUUUGUUAAAACUCUCGGGGAAGAGAGAGAAAGAGAGAGAGGACCCGCCGGACUUUUUCAAGUUUUCCGGUCGAGAUACUGUACACGUGCCGGCCAGCCAGAUUGCCCACCUCAUUUCCGGCAAAACCUCCAAAUUUCACGGCGAACGGCCGCCGGACGCGCCCGGAUCGGAGCUCCGAAGUUCGGCGGCGCGUUUUUCCCCUCCACCGCCGGCCACCGCGAAUCGACCCUGUUCUGGCCGAUCUACAGUACACGCGCCAGCUAGCCUUGAUCCUCUCCUCAAGUCCGGCCUACCCACCAAAAAUCACGGUCAUCGGACCACCGACGCACCGGGAUCGGAGCGUUUUCCGGCGAGGGGCCGGAAAUCUUCAAACGAUGAUUUCUCCGCCGUCCGACCUCCGUUUUGCUCACCGCCGGUCCCGUUGGAUUGCUCUCCUCACGAUCUACAAGUUUGCAAAAUUUCACAGCCAACGGUGACCGCGGCGGCCCGCCGGAAAAUACUGUUCCGGCGAGUACCCGAAAUUCCGGCCAGCUCCAGUCUGCAGUGUUCGACCUCCUGAACCCAAAUCCGACUUCCGUUUUCGCCAAUUCGCGACGGUUUGGGAGAAUUGCGGAGCCGAAAC